UGAGGAAGAGUGAGACCAGGAAGAGUGAGAUGAGGAAGAGUGAGGUGAGAAAGACACUGGGAGAGAGAGAGGGGGGGAGAGAGAGUGAGGGAGAGCGAGGAAGAGAGAGAGAGGAGAAGAGAGAGAGAGAGGGUUCCUCCUCAGUUCUGUCUCAACAUGUUCCGUUGUUCCUUCAGAGCAGAACGCUGAUCUGGAGAACCUGGAACCUGGGUGGGUCCAGCCUGGACCCGGACUUCUCCAGCAGAACCUCACGGCGCCGGGCGGCUUCCGCCUCCAGAGCAGCUCGCUCUUCACAUCGUCCAGACGUUCUCCGGCUCAGGAACGUCAGGAACACCGCCGCCUGCUGAAUGGAGUCAGGUUCCACAGGCUGAAGCGCCUCCUGCUGGAGAACAGAGGAACCGCAGGGCCCGACUCAGAACCCGGGUUCUGAAGCCCUCUGGAGAGGUUCCACCUGCGAGCUGCUCAGGUUCCCUCUGGGAAUCCCAGAACCCUGCCAGGUUGUCCUUCAUUACGUUCCGUUUAGAUUUUUAUGAUCUUUUAACAUCGAAACGUUCCUCACAUGUUCUGCUGGUUCUUGAGUUGUUUUGGAAAAAAUAAAUUAAGGAAAAUCUGAAACGAUGAAGUGAAUCGGCUGGAGAUGGAGAGUUCUCCACAGAACUCCCCAAACAACGCUCCCUCGAGCGGCACGAUGACCGAGAACCACCAGGGUGGAAGAACCGUGGAAGGUUCCGGGUCCCGGCGUUCCAGGAGAACUCUGGGUUCCACCUGAUCACUUCUGAUCUGACUGAAGGAUUAUUUCAGCAGAGUUUUAAAACUCAGAUGAACCUGGAGAACCUUCAAGAACCGCAGAGGGAUGAGAACCCACCGAGCCUCUGAGGUUCUUCCUGGUUCUGAAGAAGCAGAAAGCUUCCAGAGAACUGUUCUGAACAGUCCAGUGGAGCUGGAGACACCGACCGAUCUUUACUGUACUUACCUGUGUGUGUGUGUGUGUGUGUGUGUGUGUGUGUGUGUGUGUGUGUGUGCAGGGCCGGCUCGGGCUUCAGAGGCGCCCUAGGCGAGCCCGAGACGAGCGCCCCUU